GUCAUGGUGGAAACUGUCACCAGCGCAGCCUUUGCCUGUCAUCUCCCUGGUAGGUGGCCUGUGUGGGUGAGCAGCAGCAGCCACAAUGGCCCUUUGUCUCCCACUCUAUCCAAGGCACUUCCUGCUUCCCUCAUCACAGCAUGAGAGCCUUGUGCCCAUUUUCCAGAGGAGGGAGGUCAUUUCUGCAGAUCACAAUGGCCGGCGAGAGGUGACAGAAGAACGCUUCCUCUGCCUUACUGCAUGUGGGUGGCACAGUACCAGGACCCCAGGCCAAACAAGACACAGGCCUGGCCUUCAGGACAUCCCAUCAGCCUGGCCACAGUGACCAGCCAGAGAUGGCCUGUGACCUAGUCUGGCUAAUCGGUGUCCUUCCCUGGGAUUUUACACGUGGCUGCCGGAAGAGAAGCUCUGGUCUCCCUGCUUCACCAGUGACAAGAAGGUGACAAGCUGUCAUGGCCGUGUCUCCAGAAAGUCUGCCCGGAGCGGCAGAAAAGGAGCCCAACAGAGAGGCAGAGUGAAGAGAAUAACAGCCCUAACCCCUCAGUGGGGUUUCCGACCCAGGAGCCGCUGAGCCAGCACCAGCCCACCUGUACCAGGGAUACAUCCCUACAAAGACCUCUCCACCAAUCCCGGCUGGACGUCGCCACGAGCACCCAGAGGAGACCCGACCAGCAUGCACUGCCCCGUUCCAUCCUCACCCCAGCCCCCGCCCCCACCCAGGCCACCUCCUCAUGGUAGGCACAGCCAACACCACCGCUCAGGCCUCCCAAACCAUCCUCCAGGACCUGCUCCCGGCCUCGGCCCCGCAUCAGGGACCCUCCCCAGAAGGGGCUGUACUGGGUUCCAAGGGCUGCUGAAGCACCGAUUCACAAGGGACACCUCUGGGUGACAGUCAAGAGACACAGCUCUGGGAGCACAGGGAAGGGGCAGAAGCUGCAGGCAGCCCACGAGGCCUGACUUCCAGGCUGGAGGCACGGCUGCCUCCCCACCUCGGGCCUGCCCCUGCCCUGCUCUGCAGCACCAAGCCCUCCCCGCUCUUCCUGCCAAUAGCACCUCACCCCUCCAGCCCAUCCUGCCCACUACAGCCAGGGCAUUCACCAAGUGCAAAUCCCCUCCCCAGGGAGCCUGCCAGCUCCUUGCACCCUAAGGGAUAAUAGUUCUUGGCUUGGCUAUUAACUAAGAUAUAGGUUUAGCUUCUAAAGCAGAGACCCAAAAUAACACUGGCU
rnacentral:lncRNA from 1 species